rnacentral:rRNA from 1 species
GAAUUUUGGACAAUGGGGGCAACCCUGAUCCAGCCAUCCCGCGUGUGCGAUGAAGGCCUUCGGGUUGUAAAGCACUUUUGGCAGGGAAGAAAAGGCUCUGGCUAAUACCUGGCGCUGCUGACGGUACCUGCCGAAUAAGCACCGGCUACCUACGCUCCAGCAGCCGCGGUAAUACGUUGGGUGCCAGCGUUAAUGGGAAUUACUGGGCGUAAAGCGUGGGCAGGCGGUUCGGAAAGAAGGAUGUGUAAUCCCAGGGCUUAACCUUGGAACUGCAUUCUUAACUGCCGGGCUAGAGUAUGUCAGAGGGGGGUAGAAUUCCGCGUGUAGCAGUGAAAUGCGUAGAGAUGCGGAGGAAUACCGAUGGCGAAGGCAGCCCCCUGGGAUAAUACUGACGCUCAUGCACGAAAGCGUGGGGAGCAAAC